AACAUAAGGAAAAAAAAA
rnacentral:sRNA from 1 species